AGUCGCACGAGAAAGUGGAGCAAUCCAUGAGUACAGUGGCGUACGGGUGAGUAACACGUGGAUCAUCUACCUUCUAGUGGGGAAUACCUCCGGGAAACUGGAGACAAUACCGCAUAAGCUCGUAAGAGGAAAGCAGCAAUGCGCUGGAAGAGGAGUCCGCGGCUGAUUAGCUAGUUGGCGGGGUAACGGCCCACCAAGGCGAAGAUCGGUAGCCGGCCUGAGAGGGCACACGGCCACACUGGCACUGAAACACGGGCCAGACUCCUACGGGAGGCAGCAGUGGGGAAUCUUGCACAAUGGAGGAAACUCUGAUGCAGCGACGCCGCGUGAGCGAUGAAGCCCUUCGGGGUGUAAAGCUCUUUCGACGGGAACGAUAAUGACGGUACCCGAAGAAGAAGCUGCGGCUAACUACGUGCCAGCAGCCGCGGUAAUACGUAGGCAGCAAGCGUUGUUCGGAAUUACUGGGCGUAAAGAGUGUGUAGGCGGUGUUCUAAGUUUGUCGUGAAAUCUCCCGGCUUAACUGGGAGGGUGCGGCGAAAACUGGAAUGCUAGAGGAUGGGAGAGGUAAGCGGAAUUCCUGGUGUAGCGGUGAAAUGCGUAGAUAUCAGGAGGAACACCUGUGGUGUAGACAGCUUACUGGACCAUUUCUGACGCUGAGACACGAAAGCGUGGGUAGCAAACAGGAUUAGAUACCCUGGUAGUCCACGCCCUAAACGAUGCAUACUUGGUGUGAGCGAUUCAUUUCGUUCGUGCCGGAGCUAACGCGUUAAGUAUGCCGCCUGGGGAGUACGGUCGCAAGGCUGAAACUC
rnacentral:rRNA from 1 species